ACUUUGUCGACGUGGGCAGACUCGGUGACGAUGAGGCGGGCGCCGGAGGCAGUGGCCUGCUUGUGGAUCUCGGCCGGGGUGUAGAAGGGGUUGGCGGUGGUGGCGACGGCACCGCGGAAGGAGGCGCCGAGGAAAGCGAGGACGAACUCCGGGGAGUUGCGGAGGAGGAUCAUGAUGACGUGGCCUUGGCCGAUGCCGAGGCGAUGGAGGCCAGCGGCGACUC
rnacentral:lncRNA from 1 species